rnacentral:rRNA from 1 species
CUAGCGUAUAUUAAAGUUGUUGCAGUUAAAAAGCUCGUAGUUGAACUUCGGGGUGGGUGCGGUGGUCCGUCUAUGACGAGUACUGCUUAGCCCGCCCUUCCGGUGGGGAUUCUCCCUUCUGGGAGUGUUUCCACCAGUCACUUUGAAAAAAUUAGAGUGUUCAAAGCAGGCAAUUUGCCCGAAUAUUUCAGCAUGGAAUGACAGAAUAGGACGCAUGGUUUUAUUUUGUUGGUUUUCAAAACCAUCGUAAUGAUUAAUAGGGACGGUCGGGGGCAUCAGUAUUCAAAUGUCAGAGGUGAAAUUCUUGGAUUCUUUGAAAACUAACUACUG